UUACUCUCAUUAUUAAUACUUCCUUUUGUACAGAAAGUAAGAGAGAGACUCGAGGGUAUUUGUUUAUCCCCGGCUGUCUGAGAAUUUUCGAUUACCCUGACACAGGUGGCUCUGCUCACUGCAUUCAAUCAGCAUGCCAGUAAACCCUCAGAGUGUGUUGCUGCUAAGUCAUGUUAGUCUCCAAGUCCUCUGCAUGUCACUGCAGAUCUGCUGCAGCAGAUCGAGGAACUUACAGAAAUGAAUUCUCCUGAGAUCCAGUCAACAUCCCCUCAGAAUAUGGAGUUAAAUUUUGUCACAACUCCAAAUAUCUCUCAGAGAAAUGACAACUCACAGAAGGAAGUGCACAUGAGUCAUAAACCCACAGCCCCAGAAUACUAAGCAGCUCUGUUUUUCACCUGACAGCUGGGGUGAGCAGAAGCACUCUCUGUUCUCCCUCUCUCUCUCUCUUUUUUCUUAACUAAAAACAACUUAAGGGAAAAAGAAGAAGAAGAAAAAAGCAUCCUUUUGGAGCUUGGUGAAGUCCACAGACUUGUUGUGAGAAGGCCUGGAAGAUUUGCCGGACCUGAGGCAACAUGUCAACAACUGAGAGUGGUGAACUCUGUAAUGUGCCUUUGCUGUAUGACUUAAGAUUAUUCAGUUCUGCUCAAGAAAGAAAGUGAAACAAAGAAAGAGGAUAAAUGAAACUGGGUGGAGAUGCAAGUAGCUUGUGAGACAUAGGCAGAAUUUAUAUGAUGAGCAUGGUAAAACUAAGUGGAUUAGUAACCCCUGAGUCAUAGUGGCCAUCAACAAAGUAGAGAAUGUGCAUGCUGAACACAGAUAGGAGGGAGGAAUGGAAAGAGGUGAUAUUGACAACAUAUCCAUAUGCAUACGACAUCAAACAUUUGAAAUAUACUAAAUAUAAAUACAUAAAAUAUGAGAACUUAAGUCUUCAGUCAGCCACCCAUUGGUGACCCCCAUUCUAGCCACAGAAAUCCUCUGUGCAAGGAAUGCAAAUAGUCCUUAGCUGUUCAUCAGGCCAAAUGAUGAGCUACAGGUCAUGGCCAGGUGGGCUUGUCCCUGUGUCUUUCCAAGUAUACUACUGACCCGGGCAUCUUUUCCUUGCUGAGCCCCUUGCUGAAACCUCAGAUUUGACCUAUAUAAUCACACCACGGAGAAGGUCAAUGUGGUAGAUAGAGAGAACAGGUCACAUGAGCACUGUGUGUCCCAAGAUUUAAGUAGCUGGGUUCUUUCUCCUGCGUGAAUUCUAGUGUAAUUAUUUUAACUGUCCCUAUCUCUUCCCCUCUUUCUUCUCAUAAUGUGUUUUAAUUGAUUUGAUAAACCAUGUGACUCAUGCAUCUUAAUUUGUUGUGUUAGCCUUCUUCUUUGAGACCUCUAGGAUAACCUGGUAGUAGACCUGGAGACUACAAUUGCAUCAAGGUAAUUUCCUGCAUAAAAAAAUUACAGCAGUACUAUACAAACAGUAAUAAUAACAAAAAUGGUAGCUCUAAAUUUCGAGUAGUUACUAGGCAACAUCCUAAGCAUUUUGUGUAUAUUAUCUCAAAUAAUCCUCACAAUAACCCUAUAGAGCAGAUAUUAUUACCUACGUUCUACAGAUAAGAAAACCAGGGACAAGAGAAGUUCAAUAACUUGCCUAAGAUCAAUUGGCUCGUAACAGAAAGAGGAUUUGAAUUGAGGUCUGACUCUUAAUGCCAUACCUUUGCUAUUUUGGAGGAGUCCAAGCUAUUUUCCAAACCCCCUCCCCACUGCCCACCAUUUCCUCCUAUUAGGUCAUCCUAACUAAAAUCUACCCCCAUAACUUCCUAGCCCCCUCCCAUGAUUAGUUUGUUUCUCCAUUCUAUUAUCACCAUCUAAUGUAACUUUCUUACUAACUUUUUGUCUGUCUCCCCAACAAGAAUGUGAUUUUUCUAAGGAUAGGAUUUUUGUUUAUUAACUUCUGCUUCUCCAAGUGCCCAAAACAGUGCUUAAAUAGUAAGUAUUCAGUGAAUAUCAACUGAAUGAAUGAGUUAAUCCUAUUAUUGAGUUGUUUUUUUUUUCUAGAGACAUCUUUGAAAAUAAAGUCACAGGCACAAGAUCACCUUUCAGGCUGAAUAGAUUAACCCUGGAAAAUUUAUGAUUAAAUCAGCUUAAAGGGCAUAAAGAGUUUCAGAGCAAAAUUUUAGGAGGAAAAAAAGGGCUAUAAGAAAAUUACACUGCCAACUCCAUGGCUUGAAUCUUACAUGACUUCAUCACAGAUCCUGUGCAGCCCUGCAGCUUGGCUAUCUCCAUUAGAUUUUCAUCAUAUUAUAAUUUCAGGGCCUUGGACUUCUCCCAUGAUUACCUCUGAGAAGAGAUCCAGAGAAAGGAGAGUUUUACAUGCCUUACCUAGGGCAUUCUAGAAAUGGAGCUUACGUUUGUUUGCCCCAGCUGUGAGUGAGGUGCUGUAACCACAUUGUUAACUCAUUCAGAUGGUGCUUUAUGUUUCCUCUGUUUUCAGGUGAGGAAAGUGAGCCUCUGUGAGGAUAGUAGCUUUUCCCAAGUGUACAGUCUGAUAGGUAGCAAAGCCAGAAUUUGAAGUUGUGUCUGUCUAAUGCCCUAGUCCACUCUGCAGAAAUAUUGUUCCAAUGAGGAGGUCCACUAUGAACAGAAACAUGAGAUUUUCUAAACAGACGAACUUGAGAUGGAAAGAACCUGAAGUGAACCCUACUGUCCCCCAUUGUCAUUUCUUAGGACGGAUGAAAUAAAUUUGUCUUUUUAUGACACAAUUUUUUUGGUCUGUACAGGACAAAACAUCAGCUAAAUAGGCCUAAAGUAUCAGGAAAAUUUUUGGUGAAUUUGCAGUUAAAAUGGAAACAAAACUGCUUUUUAAAAUUGAAACACUUUUUUUUUUUUUUUUUUGCAACAAGCUUGGCUGGGUUUGGCUCAUCUUCUUGGAUAUGAAAAUCAUUUUCUCCAAAUUAAUUUCUUGAAAACUCAACUGUCCCGGGCUUUCAAACCAGGGGGUUAAAUUGAUCUGAUGUACACCAGAGGCCUUGGGAACGUCCUGGCCAGGGUAAUAAAUGAAAUGCAUUAAAUAAUCUUAAUUGAUACAGUAAUACUCAGGGGGCAGCUGUAUUGCCAAAUUGUCCCUUUAUUCAUUUCUGCUCAUUUAGAUAUCAAUCAGAUUUCUAAAGAGAGAUGCAGUGCAUCUGGAUGCUACUGUGAUUGUAGAUGAGAAACAGCAUGUAAGUGUCCUGGGGCUGUUUGGCAGCAACCUGUCAACAUCUCCUUGAAAUAUGUUGAACCAGGUACUAGAAUGUUUAUAGAGGUUAGGAAACCAAGAUGGGUUUUCAAGUAGAGGAAAAUGAAGUUGGAGCUAUUUAACUUUGGAGCUUUAUUCAUUCAAUCACUCAAACACUUGCUCAGUCAUUCAUCCAGCUAGUCAAUAAAUAUUUAUUGAGCACCUACUAUGUGUCUGCGGCUCUGUCAGACUGGGAAUAUGGUUUAUAAGCCUGCGUGGUCAAGUACAGUAGCUACUAGCCACAUGUGGCUAUUGAGCACUUGAAAUGUGGCUGAUCCUAAUUAAAAUUGUCUACUGAGCAGCUGAAAUGUGUUGCUCCAAAUUAGGGUGUACACAACUGAUUUCAAAGACUUAGUAGGGAAAAAAAAGAAUGUAAUAUAUGCCAUUAGUAACUUUUGGAUACUAAUGGAUCAUGCUGAAGUGGUAAGUUUUGAUAUAUCACAUUAAAUAAAAUAUAAUAACUAACCUCACCUGUUUCUUUUUACUUUUUUUUUUUUACUUUAAGUUCAGAAAUACAUGUGCAGGACGUGCAAGUUUGUUACAUAGGUAUACAUGUGCCAUGGUGGUUGGCUGCACCCAUCAACCCGUCAUCUAGGCUUUAUACCCUGCAUGAAUUAGGUAUUUAUCCUAAUGCUCUCUCUCCCCUUGCCCCCCACCCCACAACGGGCCCCGAUAUGUGUUGUUCCUCUCUCUUUUUACUUUUUUAAUGAUGUAGCUAAUAGAAAAUUUAAAUUAUAUAUAUGUGGCUUGCAUUAUAUUUCUAUUGGACAGCUCCCUGAUAAUAUUUGCAGAAGAUUUCUUCCUUCUAUAUCAUGUUUUUUCGAAUGGCUUGAAGGUAACUUUCAGGGAAGAUAAUAAAAGAUAGAGGCAGAAGGCCUGAUCUACUGUGGUUAAAUGAUGUUUCUAGGUUUUAGGUGGUUAAUUUUGGUUUUGAAAACUUUUUACUUUGGAAGUUAAAUAUCUAGGUCCAGUAUUUUGGAACUGUCAAAAUGUAGAAAAUUUGGGAUACUGCAAUGUUUUUUGCUUUCUGGCAUUUUCUAAGUUGUCAUUGGAUAUCCUGAAUCCCUGAAUAUCCAUAGAUGCCUGCUUUCACAUGACAACACUAAAAAAGAUGGCUUAGAAAGAAGUAAAUACUUAUGGAAUGGGUUAUUUGACAAGAUGAUACUAUGGGAAUAAGUGAAGCUAACUUUGGUCUUGCUUCUCUUAUUUGAAAUUGAGACAUCUGGGCUGCUUUAUGUCUGUGCUGAUCUGCUGGCAGGAAAAAAUUAAUAACUGGAACCGUUAUCAGCAUGGAAAUAAUAUUUAAUGACUCAGGAAUUCUGUAAGAAUAAUCAGUCUUGGCAACAAGCUCUAUAUGAAAAGUAAGGACUCAAA
rnacentral:lncRNA from 1 species